rnacentral:rRNA from 1 species
UGGGGAAUUUUGCGCAAUGGGGGAAACCCUGACGCAGCAACGCCGCGUGGGUGAUGAAGGCCUUCGGGUCGUAAAGCCCUGUCUAUGGGAAAGAAAUGUUUGGGGGUUAAUAUCCGUUGAAUUUGACGGUCCCUCUGAAGGAAGCACCGGUUACUUCCGGGCCAGCACCCCGGGAAAUAUUCG